rnacentral:rRNA from 1 species
AGUGAACGCUGGCGGCAGGCCUAAUACAUGCAAGUCGAACGGCAACACCGUGGAGCUUGCUCCAUGUGUGGCGAGUAGCGGACGGGUGAGGAAUACAUGGGAAUCUGCCCAGUCGUGGGGGAUAACGUAGGGCAACUUACGCUAAUACCUCAUGCGCCCUUCGGGGGAAAGCCGGGGACCUUCGUUCCUGGCGCGGGUGGGUGAGCCCGUGUUCGAUUAGCUAGUUGGCGGGGUAAAGGCCCACCAAGGCGACGAUCGAUAGCUGGUCGGAGAGGAUGAUCGGCGACAUGGGGAGGGGAACAGGGACAAGACGCCUAAGGGAGGUAGCAGUAGGGAAUAGUGGGCAGUGGGCGGAAGCAUGAUCCAGCCAUGCCAAGUGAGUGAAAGAGGCGCCCGGGUUGUAAAGAUCUUUUGUCCGGGAAGAAAAGCAUCGGGCUAAUACCUAGGGGGAGUGACGGUAACGGAUAAAGAAGCACCGGCUAACUUCGUG